UACAGAGGGUGCGAGCGUUAAUCGGAAUUACUGGGCGUAAAGCGUGCGUAGACGGUUAUUUAAGUCGGAUGUGAAAGCCCCGGGCUCAACCUGGGAAUUGCAUUCGAGACUGAAUAGCUAGGGUGCGGUAGAGGGAAGCGGAAUUUCCGGUGUAGAGGUGAAAUUCGUAGAUAUUAGGAAGAACACCAGUGGCGAAGGCGGCUCACUGGUCCGGUACUGACGCUGAGGUGCGAAAGCGUGGGGAGCAAACAGG
rnacentral:rRNA from 1 species